UAAUACAUGCAAGUAGAACGCUGAAGGAGGAGCUUGCUUCUCUGGAUGAGUUGCGAACGGGUGAGUAACGCGUAGGUAACCUGCCUGGUAGCGGGGGAUAACUAUUGGAAACGAUAGCUAAUACCGCAUAAGAGUAGAUGUUGCAUGACAUUUGCUUAAAAGGUGCACUUGCAUCACUACCAGAUGGACCUGCGUUGUAUUAGCUAGUUGGUGGGGUAACGGCUCACCAAGGCGACGAUACAUAGCCGACCUGAGAGGGUGAUCGGCCACACUGGGACUGAGACACGGCCCAGACUCCUACGGGAGGCAGCAGUAGGGAAUCUUCGGCAAUGGACGGAAGUCUGACCGAG
rnacentral:rRNA from 1 species